UAUGCGAUGGGGGCCCUUCCUGGUACCCUGGACAACCACCGGGACCGAAGGUGAGCCGGGUCCAGAAGGUCACAGCUGCACCUGCCGGCUGACCCCCUCUGGCCCCUCAUCGCCCGCCGUUACUGGAGCCCCGCCUGGGUGACCCUUACAGCCCCUGAGGCAGGUACCGGGGGGUUCCCCGGCCCGGCCCGGCUCGCCACAAGCGCCCCUCCCAGCCCCCCUCCGCGGAAGUUAACGCUGCAGGCGCAGUGAUGAACGGCAGAAGCCGCCGCCCCCCUCCGGCACCAGGGCACCUGCCAGCACCCACAGCUGGUCCCAGCCCCUGGGCUGUUGUUUCCCGCAGCUGCCCCCUCGCCCUCCUACCGCCCUCCUACCGCGGAGCCCGGAGGGACGGGGCGCGGAAGGAAGCCGGGGCUGCUGGCCGACUGCUGCCGUAAGGGUAGCCCGGGCAGAGCCAGUCGCCAUCCCGUUGGGUGCCCGGCCCUGGCAGCCGCCGGAGCGGGAAAACUUUCUGCCGGGCCGGCUCGGGACAGAGCCCCUGCGGGCGACCUCUGGGUCCGGGAGGAGCAGCAGCGGGGCCGCCGCGCCGGCAGCUCUGGCAGCGGGGCUGCAGCUGUCCGGGGAGCCGGGCGGGUACCGGGGAGGGAGCGGGGGAACCCGCGUUUGGAAAUAAAGCCCCGGCACAGCGCGGGGGAGUGGGGAGAAAGAGCUCGCUGUCCUUCCCGGGCGCCGAGUAUUUUGCAAACUCUGGCGAGCGGGACUUCAGCCCGCAAGCCCCGGUGCGAGGAGGUGAGAAGACGGGGUGGGUGGGGGGAGGCGAGGGAAGUGCAGACUUACCAGGCGUGAAACACUGAGAGGAGGAAGAAAACCGGCAGGAGCUUAGCGGACAUGAUCUGGGCAGCGCCGGCCAGAGAAAUACAUGUGGACUCCAGACCGCCCGCUGCCUUGAGAAAAUAACGGCCGGAACAUCAAAGCGAAUGUGAGGGGCGGCAGGAGCCCGGGGUUUGCCCGGAUGUCACCAGACAUCGCUGUGUGGAAGUUCUCUUUUCCCCUGGUUAAGGAGCACGGUGAUCCGCCGAGGCGAAGUUUGCAGAAGCACCAGCGCUGUGAGGCGUGCGGGAGGCGAGACAGGGCGAGCGGGGGAGCCGCCGGUGCCGCGUGACAGCAAGCCCCAAGGCUCGAGUGGAGCUUUAUGGUUCAUUAGUUAUUGCCUCCUUCUCUUCAGGCUGUAAGGAAAAAGAAAAGCAAAAUAAAACGGGCCGUGUUGCAGCUCUUCAGCAGCUUUGUGUACACUUGCUGGCAGAACCAUGGGCACUGGGGGCAGACGUGCACUGCUGGUGCCAGACGGACCCCCUCAGCAGUUGUUCUGAGAACAUCAGUAACACCGGCCUGCAGUGAAGGAGGAACUGAACUCAGAUUCACUGAAGCCAAGACUGUUGUGAGUGGCUGGUCCCAGCAUUUGUUACUGUUAAGCGUUAUUUUUUGUCUUAUAUGUGGUAUGCCGAUUUUUCCCACCUACAUAUGCAACCUAUCAUGGUCGGACUGGUACAUUGGAAACGAUCUGUAUUUCUCAAAAACUCUUCAAAUUCAUCUAACUGAAAUGAGUUGGUAUCUUCAAUCAACAUGCUUUAAUUUCCUUUUCACUUUGUUUUUAGCCAGGGCCAAUUUAAACAGCAACUUUUAAGACAUGAAGACUGUGAGAAGUGAUAAUUGCUUUUGAGGAUGGCAAUGAAAAGGCAAAUAAUGCAGCACAGAAUGGGACACUUAACAUUGGGUCUAAAUUAGUGAUAAUCCUAGGAGAAUCCUUCAGAAGUCCUUUGGGCUUCAUAAAAUCUAAAUUUCAUUCUUUCUGUCUUUUCCAAAAUUAAAUAAAUGUCCAUAACAAAACAGCAGAAGAAGUAAAACUGGUAAGGCGAGGAUGUCAUCUGAGAAUGUCACCAUGUAAUGGCCAUAUUUAAGUGUUUGUAGUGACACAACAACAUAUAAAAAGCCAGAAGGAAUUCAAGCAAUUUGAUCAAACACUCCUUUAGAAUAAUCUAGGUUCCUCUGAACAUUUCGGUGUCAAUUCCAAUUUGAGGAGCAAGGGUGUUAGGAGACAUAUAUCCUUAUUACAAAGAACAUUAUCUUCAGAUUUAAAAAAAAAUAGCUGUGCAAGUGCUACAUUCAUCUUGUCUGCAUAAACUGAAUAGCAAAGGGGUUUCAUUCAGUUUUCUUGAAAGUUUAAUUUAUACAUUCAGCAAGAAUGUUUUAAAUACAAGAUUACCUCAUAAAAUCAUUUCUUAGUUUUGUACAAAUAUGUUUAGUUAUUCCACAGGGGGCAUAUUCCAUUUAGAAAAAAAGAAAAAAAAAAAAAAGUGUAAUGUAAUUCAAGACAACAGAAGAGGGCUAAGCUUUAGAAAAUAUAUUGUUGCCUAAAUUCAUCCUUGAAGUAAGCUGGCACAGCUCAAAUAUCAGAAAAAAAACCCUUUUCCAUUGUGUUUGACUUGUUCUUUCAUUCUUAAUGGGCGCAAGUGAGGAAAUUUGGCAGUAGAACUGCAUGCACUUACUCUUCAGCGCUGAAUUGUUGUAUAAUAAUAAACUUUUCAACUCUUUUUUUUUUUUUUUCAUGAAAGCAUACAGGAAAAACCCCAUGACAAGCAAUUUCUAUUUAUUAUUGUCUUUUGCCAUGACUAAGCUGUCAAGUAGAUGUGCCCCGCAGGGUCCCAGCUCCCUCAUACUGGGGACAGUGACACAGCUAACCCCACUCCUGAAGGCCCAAAGUCCUUCCAGGGGAAACCAGAGGAGGUUGAUGCACAUCCAGAUACAGCCACAGCCUGGAGCAAGCCAAGGCCAAGGUGUUUACUUUGAGCCAGGAUCUGGGAAAUGCUCCCAUCUCCCACAGUUCAGAUGCCAUUGAUGAGUAAUGGUCUCCCACACAAACAGUUCCACUGACUACAGAGGGAUUUAAAUUGUUAGGUGUUGUGUAGUGUGAGGCAGUGGCAUUUAAGUAUUCCAGCCUGGAACUGAUCAGCUUGUUGAAGCAUCUCCCAAACCAUGGGACAACACCUACUGCUCAAGCAGGACCACAUGCUUGGAGAUGUCUACUUCUUCUUCUAUCAUUGCAGUUCUCAGCAAGGAUUAGCAGUGUGUGGGAUUCUCUGAGAAACAUAAGAUAGAUGGUUUUUUCAGGAAACUUCAGCCUGGUUUAGCAAAUCCACGGUAACAGAAUGAACUGUAAUUAUUUUCUGCCUUUACUAUCAAACAUAGAAAGUGACAGUCUAUAUGACUGGAAGUGAUUUAUGUAUAAAAUGUCUGUGGUGUCAUAUACCUUUGGAAGGAAAUUAUUACAUCUUCUACACAUCAGGUAAAUGCCAAUAAACUGUUUACCAAAGUAAAGCAAAGGACUUGAUCCUCCAACCAUGCCACUCUACCAUUUCCAGGUAGUUCCAUAUUCAGUGGAAACAAGGAGCCUCUUAAUGUAAGUGAAACUGGUCAGAUUUAGAGGUCUUGACACUGAGUCCUGCAAUAGAGACCAGAAAGUUAUGCUCAGCCCUUCAGGGUAAGAGUCAGACUUGGGCAUAAGCAAAUAAAACAACCAUGGAAAACCUUCCAGGGCAAACAGAAUGGCUCUGGAGAAGAUGCCGUAAAGAUAGCUCUGAGUUUCCUAUUUGUGUAGAGAAAAGCCUCACACUGGAGGCUUUUCAUGGAAGUUUGAGGGAAACGAAAAGCAACUUCUUGUGAUUCUCUCUCUUUCUUGUUUUGGGAUUCCUGUGUAUUCAGACGUCUAUUUUCCGUGCAUGGUAUCCUCUGGAAGGUUGUGGAUUGCUCAUAGUUUUCAACAGCAUAGUACAUACAGCCUCCAUAUUGUCUCUGAAACACUCUGGUGCCACUUUCACAAGUACUCUGUGGCCUAAGGGUCAUUCCUGCACUCCAGGCUUCUUUUGCAGAAGAAGGUAUGUUGAGUAGCUAGUAUGGGGUCAGGAUAAAGGUCUGGAUAGCACAAUAUCCUUUGUCUGAAAGUGGCCAGAAGCAGAUUUUUUUUUUUAAGAAUAAGAGGAACAGAAGAUGCAUAUAUGAUACUCCUCCCUAGUACUCCUCAAGUCUCUAGCAAUCAGCAUCUCAGGAACCUGAUACAGUCUAUCAGAACCUAUUUACAGAACUGAGCAAAAACCCCAUGCUCCAGACUGAACUUAAACCCACAGAAACUGGCUUUAGUCAGUAAUUGUCCACUUAGUUCCUUAAUAUUUGGAACAUUGCUGUUCAGUAACUGUUUUUAUUUUAAAAUCAUACAAAUACCUAAUCUUCCCAUGGAAAAAAGAAAGCUGAAACCACUGUCUUUUUCAUGUAACUUAGAUGUCUGAUAUCUGAGGGGAAGAAGUGUUAAGUAAUGUUUGUAUUGAAUAGAAUCCAACUUUGCAAUUGCAAAUAUUAUAAUAAAUAAUGAUGUGUGAUAAAAAAGUUUGAGUCUUUGCCACCUGUAGGCUGCAAGAAUGGCUGGCAAGAGAAUUGACCUUACAAGCACUGAUUCAUACCUGCCAAAACCAUGGUAGCAUAUGUACACAUGGGAUAAAAAAUAAAAGAAGUCAGCAUGUGGACUGUUUCCUGAUGCAUCUUCAUCAGCCCACCCAUCAUCCUCAGACACCUAGCUGAGCAGGAUUGGUUUGAUGCAUUGUGCUGUGUCACUGAUGUUUCAAGAGUUAUAUCUAAUCUGUCAUUCUGGUGAGACUAGAAAUAGCCAGCUGUUGGUAAACUGAUUCCUAGGAAGAAGCCUUGUCCAGAUGUGAUACCCAGCACACAUCCAUCUGCCACGAGUGUCAAUGGCAUGCCCUGUCACCAUCAACCACAGGAAAAGAGUUGAGGACAGUGAGCAAACAUUCAUCCAUAGGGCUGCAGGCAACAUCCCUCAGUGAUUAACAGCAGGACCCUACCACACCAUUCAUUUCAUGGUCACUUUGCCUUGCCACAGGUGGAAUAUACAUUCACACCAAAAGAUUAGAAGGAAAGUUCCCCAAGUGUCCACACCCUGACUAAGAGUGGUUGUUGUGUUUGCUAGUCCUGGCAGCAGAUUAGGCUCACCUCUCCUUGACUGGAUGUUCAACCUCCAGAAGCCCAGUACUUCAUUCAUGGUACAUCUCUGUGGUCAUAGGAAGAGGCAGAAGAGGUUGCAGCUGAGAGGGUCUGUGUUGCACAUGUGGAAAGAUUUUCUCCCCUCUGACAGCUGCCAGGUGUUUUAGCUGUUUUGGAGGUUCUCAGUGAGUGAAUCGCUGGGGAUGCCCAAUGCAGCAUGUGUGAAAUUCUUUGCACUGCAUCCCUGCUGUACUUGGUGAGAUCUUAUUGGCUCUCAUCUGUUUGUGAGAAUAACCCACAUGCAAGAAAACAAAUAGAAUCAUAGAAUAGUUUAGUUUGGAAGGGCCCAUCAAAGGUCAUCUAGUCCAACCUCCCUGCAACGAGCAGGGACAUCUUCAACUAGAUCAGGUUGCUCAGAGUCCUGUCCAGCCUGGCCUGGAAUGUCUCCAGGGAAUGUCUCCCAUCUACCGCCUCUCUGGGAAACCUGUCCCAGUGUCUCACCACUUUCUUCUGCAUGUCUAGCCUGAAUUCUAGUUUAAAACCAUUGCCCCUUGUCCUAUCAUUACGGGCUGUGCAGCAAAGUCUGUCCCCAUCCUUCUUAUAGGCCUCUUCUAAGUACUGAAAGGCCACAAUAAGGUGUGCCCAGAACCUUCUCUUCACCAGGCUGAACAACCCCAACUCUCUCAGACUGUCCUCACAGCAGACCUGUUCCAGCCCUAUGAUCAUUUUUGUCUCCUCUUCUGGCCCCUCUCCAACAGGUCCACAUCUUUCUUGUACUGAGGGCUCCAGAGCUGGAUGCAGUACAUACCCAUAGAGCUGUAGGAAGAUUUGCCAUCCAGGUGGCUCUGCAAAUUUUCACUGGUUUUGAUCCCCAAAGACCUGGAUUCAUGGCAUUCAAAUACCAUUAUCACACUUUUUAAAACUAAGAAAUGACAAACAAGGAGGUGUGUGGCUGCUCAAAGUCACAUGGGAAGCCUACAUGAAAACAGAGAUUCAAAUCCCCACCUUGGCUCAGGAUAACGUUCUAACUAACAGAUGGGCAUGUCCCCCCCUUGCUCCUCUUCACCAGUUUCCAUUCACCUGCUCAGUCCCAUGGCUUCCCUGUGGUCACUGAGAACUGAAAACUUCUAAUUCCACAGCAUAAAACAAGAAACUUCAAAAAGGAAUAGAUGUGUGAGAUUUUUUUUGUUGGCAAUGUUUAGGAAUGAAGGUGACAAAGAAACCCAGUCAGCUCCUCAGUCCUGGACGAGGCUCUCAGCUCAAAGGGAAGCACAAACCCUUUGCCUUGAACAGAACAUGGGGCUGAUGUUCCAUAGCAAAAUAGCAUCUAAUUCUGAAACAUCCCAAUUCACUGUAUUCACUCAGUAUAUACAUUUCUGGGCAACAGUGAGGACGUGUAAUGUACACACAGGAUCAAGUGCAUGCAUGUGUACUGUGCAGUUAAUUCUUUCAGCUCUUGUGGUGAUUGGUCUCUCUAACAGGAUAACCAGUGUAAGAAUGACACUGUACAAUCAAAUGUUGAAUGCAUUUUUUAUUUAAACAUUAAGAUUAAAUUACAAAAGCUUCUGGAACAAGGAAAGGAUGCCAAGAGGAAAGAGCUGAAAACUCAGAUUGCAUUUUCUCAUUCAUUGUGAAAGCAAAACACAUUGGCAGCAGCAAGGCGUUUUUUAUAGAAAAGUUUCAGAUGGACAGUACAAAGACCUUCCUGUCAAUAUUGUCACUGAAACACCUUGCUGUCAUGAAGCACAUCUUUUUUUCUGAUCACACUUCUUGGUGUGGGCUGAUUGGUUUUGACUGUGGGAAACAAGUAAUAAUGAUUGCAGAAUUACUGUAAUUCUUUACUGUUAAUCUCUGCUAAUGUAACACAAUCUUCUUCUUGGGAAAAUGUCCAAACAUCAUUUACUUUACCCUAAUUAAAAAUGCCUACAGCUGUUGUUAAAAGUUUUAUUUGUACAAGUAUGUUCCUAAUCUAUGUUCAUUUCAUGCAAUAUAUCUCUAAUUUUUAGAAUAAAUACUGAGAAUAAUUUGAGAAAAUUCCUUGGAAUGCAAAAUCCAAACAAAUCACAUAUUUUCUUUUAAGGGCAAGAUUCCACCACCUUUAUUUACACAAGUAGCAUUCUGCUUCCUAUGUUACUUCACUGUAAGCUAGAGGCUCAAGCAGUGAAAAUGCAGCAUAGCCCCAUUAGGAUUUACUGUAUUGUAUUAACUUCCAAUGAAAACUGGGCUGAAGAGUUUUAUCUGUGGAGUAAUGCACUACGUAUAACCAGUAAAGGUACUCGAACAUAGCCCUAUGCUUAGUAAUUUGGCACAUUUACAACUGGCGUUACUCAGUAACUUAUCAGAUGACAAUAGUGGAGCUCUUCUGUAAAAUAUAGGUUAAGCCUACAUUUAUAUGACUGUACAUCUGAAGUAUAAAAACCACGAUAUGUAGUACACUUGAACAGUUAAAAAAUAUAACUUAUUUUAUUUGUAAACUAUCAAUGCAAGAUACUCAGCAGCAAAGAAGCCAUGUUCAAUGUCUUCUGAUCUUUUAUAAAGAUCUGUUGCUGUAAGUAAUAUAAUAGUCUCUGAAACAUCUGAGGUUACAUGUAGAAACAAUCAAGGCAAUAUUAUUUGUACAUAUUAUUAAACAUGCAAAAAACUUCCUGAAGAAUAUUGCCCAAAUGUAGAAAGUCAUCUGGAUCUCAAAUUUUCCUUGGUAGCAUCUGCUUUGUAAGUAUGGCUCACAUGUGGCUUUAAGAGUCCUUUAGUUUAUUUUGGAGAAUUGGCACCUUUAAUAACAGGCUCCCUAUUCAGAUAUGUGGCCCAGUAAACUAAGUUAAAAGUUCCAAACAGCACUGGAAAAAUUAUCCGGGACAUUUUGUCAAUCUUACUGAUGCUGUUGUAAGUCUUUUUGCUUUCAGCGGGCUUUUCUUCUGCAGACUUCACUGGAGCAGAUGCAGCAUUUGAGAUGACAGAUGGGGCUGAGUCCUUUGGCAUGUUUGGUGCGGGGGUCAUCUUCCCAGUGCUGUAAGUAUUAGUUGAUUUAUUUCCCAGCAAAUCACGCUCUUUUUUCUGCAGCAUAAAGAACAAAUCAUUAGACCACAGGUACAGAAAGUGGAAACGCAUUCUCAAGAUAUUAACCCAAAAAUUUAAGCACUGUAAUCAAUCAUGCCAACGAAUGCCUGUUGGCUAUUCUGACCUUGACUCGCAAACAGCUGUUUCUGCCUCAGUUUUAUAGCCUUACUCAGGCUAAACUUUCCCUGAUGCCAGAGAAAGCUAAGAGCAGCUGAAUGGACCCAGAUCCCACCUGGCGUGUGCAUUAGCAGUUUCUUUUGUCAGGGCAACGUGGUUCAGCACCUGCAGAGGUUCCUGCCUCACAGGCAGCUGCCAAGACACAAACCUCGCCCUCCUGGCUGCAGCAAGGAGCGUGGUGGAGGGCUCAUUGCCCCUGCCUGCUUCCCGCUCUUUUGUCUUUUUUUUUAUUUGGGAUACUGUGGUGGGACCCUGGCUCACAGAGUUCAAUGUGAGCUUUGUCAUUUAUCUGGGAGAGCGCAUAGGGAAUGCUCUGCAGAGGUAUGUUUCACGGUAUAUAACUGCGAUUAUCAGAAGGCUGGUCACUGAAAUCCUGUGCCUUAUAUUCUUCUGAAAACAGUCCACUCCAUACAGACGGUAGAAACUGACAGUCUAUCUCCAUGAAGAGAAGGCAGCUUAUUUCCUUGCCACUAUUCCUCUAUAGGAAGGUGAAAGUAUGUCAUCAGGUAAUUAAAUACAUUUUUCACAAAGAAGCUGAAAAUUGUCUAUUCAGUAGUUUGCACUAUGCUGAGUACUCACUUUUUAUUCUAGGUAUUAAAAACAUGUAAGGUAAGCACCUUGAUUUUAGCUGCUUCCAGGGCUUUUUUGCCAUCCCAUGCCCAACUCCUCUUGGUAAAAUAGUUGACUGUUGCAAAUUCAAUCAAUGCGGAAAAUACAAAGGCAUAGCAGACAGCUAUAAACCAGUCCAUUGCAGUAGCGUAGGCCACUUUUGGCAAAGAGUUACGGGCACUGAUACUUAAGGUGGUCAUGGUGAGCACUGUUGUUACUCC